rnacentral:tRNA from 1 species
ACUAUUUUGACAGAUAAAUGUUAUAAAUUUAGAUUUUAUUUAUGUAAUUAAUAUUACAAAUAGUA